rnacentral:lncRNA from 1 species
AGAUUCUGUCAAUCAUGACUCAAACCCUAAUCAAAUUAGGCAAAUGAUAAUUUGAUCAACCUAAAUUAAAUAUAACUUCUAAUCAAAUUAGAACUAUAAAUUUGAUUUAAUCUAUAAUCAUUAAUUCUAAUCACAUUAGAAUAAUGAAUUAUAGUAAAACAAAUCCAUCAGUAGAAAAUCCUAGUCCAAGUUCGAUGCAUCCUUUUCAUGAUCAAAUUUGUUUGGCUCCACACAUAUGUAGGACAACAAUC